rnacentral:rRNA from 1 species
AUGAACGCUAGCUACAGGCUUAACACAUGCAAGUCGAGGGGCAGCAUGGUCUUAGCUUGCUAAGGCCGAUGGCGACCGGCGCACGGGUGAGUAACACGUAUCCAACCUGCCGUCUACUCUUGGACAGCCUUCUGAAAGGAAGAUUAAUACAAGAUGGCAUCAUGAGUCCGCAUGUUCACAUGAUUAAAGGUAUUCCGGUAGACGAUGGGGAUGCGUUCCAUUAGAUAGUAGGCGGGGUAACGGCCCACCUAGUCUUCGAUGGAUAGGGGUUCUGAGAGGAAGGUCCCCCACAUUGGAACUGAGACACGGUCCAAACUCCUACGGGAGGCAGCAGUGAGGAAUAUUGGUCAAUGGGCGAGAGCCUGAACCAGCCAAGUAGCGUGAAGGAUGACUGCCCUAUGGGUUGUAAACUUCUUUUAUAAAGGAAUAAAGUCGGGUAUGGAUGCCCGUUUGCAUGUACUUUAUGAAUAAGGAUCGGCUAACUCCGUGCCAGCAGCCGCGGUAAUACGGAGGAUCCGAGCGUUAUCCGGAUUUAUUGGGUUUAAAGGGAGCGUAGAUGGAUGUUUAAGUCAGUUGUGAAAGUUUGCGGCUCAACCGUAAAAUUGCAGUUGAUACUGGAUAUCUUGAGUGCAGUUGAGGCAGGCGGAAUUCGUGGUGUAGCGGUGAAAUGCUUAGAUAUCACGAAGAACUCCGAUUGCGAAGGCAGCCUGCUAAGCUGCAACUGACAUUGAGGCUCGAAAGUGUGGGUAUCAAACAGGAUUAGAUACCCUGGUAGUCCACACGGUAAACGAUGAAUACUCGCUGUUUGCGAUAUACUGCAAGCGGCCAAGCGAAAGCGUUAAGUAUUCCACCUGGGGAGUACGCCGGCAACGGUGAAACUCAAAGGAAUUGACGGGGGCCCGCACAAGCGGAGGAACAUGUGGUUUAAUUCGAUGAUACGCGAGGAACCUUACCCGGGCUUAAAUUGCAGAUGAAUUACGGUGAAAGCCGUAAGCCGCAAGGCAUCUGUGAAGGUGCUGCAUGGUUGUCGUCAGCUCGUGCCGUGAGGUGUCGGCUUAAGUGCCAUAACGAGCGCAACCCUUGUUGUCAGUUACUAACAGGUUCCGCUGAGGACUCUGACAAGACUGCCAUCGUAAGAUGUGAGGAAGGUGGGGAUGACGUCAAAUCAGCACGGCCCUUACGUCCGGGGCUACACACGUGUUACAAUGGGGGGUACAGAGGGCCGCUACCACGCGAGUGGAUGCCAAUCCCCAAAACCUCUCUCAGUUCGGACUGGAGUCUGCAACCCGACUCCACGAAGCUGGAUUCGCUAGUAAUCGCGCAUCAGCCACGGCGCGGUGAAUACGUUCCCGGGCCUUGUACACACCGCCCGUCAAGCCAUGGGAGCCGGGGGUACCUGAAGUGCGUAACCGCGAGGAGCGCCCUAGGGUAAAACUGGUGACUGGGGCU